rnacentral:rRNA from 1 species
GAUGAACGCUGGCGGCGUGCCUAAUACAUGCAAGUCGAGCGAACAGACGAGGAGCUUGCUCCUCUGACGUUAGCGGCGGACGGGUGAGUAACACGUGGAUAACCUACCUAUAAGACUGGGAUAACUUCGGGAAACCGGAGCUAAUACCGGAGAAUAUAUUGAACCGCAUGGUUCAAUAGUGAAAGACGGUUUUGCUGUCACUUAUAGAUGGAUCCGCGCCGCAUUAGCUGGUUGGUAAGGUAAAGGCCUACCAAGGCAACGCUGCGUAGCCGACCUGAGAGAGUGAUCGGCCACAUUGGAACUGCGCCAGGGUCCACACGCCUGCGGGAGGCAGCAGUAUGCAAUGUUGCGCAGUGGGCGAGAGCAUGGCGGAGCCGCGGCGCGUGAGUUAUGGAGGUCUCCGGAUCGUAAAACUCUGUUACUAGGGGAGAACAAAUUUGGAAUUAGCCAUGGACGUCUUGACGGUACCUAGUCAGAAAGCCACGGCUAACUACGUG